UUGACUCAACCAAUGAGAUUGCGUGACGUUUUCAAAACCGGAAAAGGGAAACCCAACCCGAAAAGGGCGCCUGGAUUGAAAGUGAAGACGUUAAACUCAGGAUAAACUCUUCGACGCCGCGACCAUGAGUUUCUCUCCGUGUCCACCUGAUGCGCUCGCUGGCAACAGCAUCCAGGAGCAGAGGGACCUCUGGGAGAGGAAACGGAGCCGAGCAGCCAGAGAAUUGGUGCAGUCGGAGCAGCGGUACUGCCAACAGCUCGGGCUAGUCACCACUUACUUUGUGGAGAUUUUGAAGGCCAAAGGAACCCUGAGGCAGGACAUUCGAGAAAGCAUCUUCACUUCAAUUAAAGCCAUUCACUCAGUAAACCAUCCUCCGGAAUGCCAACUCGGUAAGCCUGAAUCAACAGUGCCUCUGCUGUCUACAUUCAAGCGACGCCGCCUUGCCUCAAUUCCUUCAAGACGCAAUUAAUCAACAAUCAAUUCCACACAAUCGACCACAUUUUUGAAUUAAUUCUAGCGAUCGUCUAUUUG